UACGUAGGGGGGCAAGCGUUGUCCGGAUUUAUUGGGCGUAAAGAGCGUGUAGGCGGCCUGACAGGUCUGCUGUGAAAACUCGAGGCUCAACCUCGAGACGUCGGCGGAAACCAUCUGGCUAGAGUCCGGAAGAGGAGAGUGGAAUUCCUGGUGUAGCGGUGAAAUGCGCAGAUAUCAGGAAGAACACCCGUGGCGAAGGCGGCUCUCUGGGACGGUACUGACGCUGAGACGCGAAAGCGUGGGGAGCGAGCAGG
rnacentral:rRNA from 1 species